AUGAAAAAGGGCGAGGUUACCUGCUCCAGCUUGGUUGCCGUUGGGAGGAGAGGCCGCUCCACUUGGGGGGCGGUGGCGGUCGAGUCCAGGCAGCGGCGUCGAGUCCAGGAGGUGGGAAACCCUACUUUGUGGCAUCGACUGGUCCAGGAGGUUUCCCAGCUUACCCUUUUGUGGUGCCUGUUUAUGCGACCUGCAAAAAAAGGGUGGGCCGAGGAAUAG
rnacentral:rRNA from 1 species